ensembl:lncRNA
UCCUCUGGAAAACCAACACUGUAUUGUAAAGUUUGAGUCUCACUGAUGAGUCCUGAAUAAAUAAGUGAUUUUGUCUAAUCGGGGCCGACCUGCUGUGAUUGGAUGAAUUAAAAAUUGUUCAUAGAUGUUUGCGGUGUGGUCAUUGUCCUGCUGAGAAGAAUGAACAAUAAAAAAAGAGCAGAAAUCCUUUUAAAAGCCGUGUAGUCAAAGCCCCGGUGAAGAAAACCAUCAGGCUUGGAGUCUGCCGUUCGUGAGACAUUCAUCAUAGUAUCCUUCAGCUUUAAGGUCAGGUGUGCUUUGUAAUGAUGUGAAAUGAGCACUAUGCGUUGAACCAGCGCUGCAUAUGGCAUGGAGUUUCCCUUUUACACAUAGCACACAAAAAAGAUGUCAGUGUCAGACACGCUCUUACCAACAGAAAAUACUCUGUUUGGCAUAGGCGAGAGGUGGCAGCACAAGAUGCAGUUCGUAAUUCGAUUGUACCAUCGCCCUCUUGGAAUACGGCCGUUUGUAUUUUUUGCAAUCAAUGAACAGGCUUUAUCUACUUGGAAUGCUAAGAACAGUGAGCUGUCAAUCAAACUAGCCCCGCCCCAAAGCAUACCCUGCAUUAUGGUCUGUUUGACUCCAACAGGACAAUAAUUGACUAAAUCUAGACUUGAAACUAGAGAUUGAGAAUAUGAACUCAUGUUCUACCUUUAUGUAAUCUGACGUCUACCCGCGACCAGAGAAGUCACCCCCUGCUGGUCAGUAGACAGAAUGCAAGUUUUACGAUGAUUUUAUAAACAACCAGGACUCUAGCUGUUCCUUAAAUUUGUCUGGCAAUUUUAGCAUCCCCAUUACAUACUGGCAGUUAACUGUUUCACUAUUAUUCCACAAACUUUUGACUCGUAUAAUUUCCGUAUUAGCCCUGUCCGGAAAUUAUCAUACAGUCUCUUAUUUCAUAAAAAUACCAGCCUUCAACCAGAACCUAUUUUUUGCCCGACAUGUGUGCAUAUAUGAAAGUCCUGCCUAAAGGUGCAACACACAUUAAUGUACCAUAUUUAUCAUAUUGUACCAUAUUUAUCAUAUUGUAUCUGUUUGCAGUGAGGCUGACAAGUCCGGGCUGAAGCUUCGGGGCUGAUUGACCAUAAAAUACUAACAAGGCUCUCCUAACGAUCUCAAUGAAAUGCUCAGUGACUUAAUUAGAUGAUGUGCUGUGCAUUUUAAGGGGUUCACUUAGGGGCAUGGUCUCUAAAGAGAUCAGAAUUAUUUUUUAAAUACAUGUGGGACGUGCAUUCAAGGCAUUUCUCUAUCAUGAGGCAAAAUAAAACACCUUUCAUUAAAACCCUCUGAAGUUACAAAAGGAAGAGUAUGGUUUUGCCACAUCACAUAUGUCAUCUGGCCAAUCAAACAUGUUCAGUGGUAAAAGGGUUACAAAAAGGUUAUGG